CUUGCUUGGGCAAUGUGACUUUGAGAGUUCCACUUAUGGCCGCAGGAUCUACCGAGUUGUUGUCGGGACCCCGGAGCUGAAUUGCUUUCCUUUCUGUUGACCCUCAUCUCAGCCCAGAAAUACAGGAAAAGCAGAAGCUGGUUCCAGGCAAACCAAUGCUCCCAACUCCAAAGAGUCAGGGUUGUUAGAGAGCCCUUUCCCAGAAAGCCUGACACCCAUGUCUUUAGUCUGGUGGCUGUGCUAGUCACUUUUAACUGGCCAAAAGGUGCCCAGUGUUUAGCCCCCGAAUUCUAAGGAAAAGUAGGGCAGAAUAGCGAGUGAAAGGGGUCCAAUGGUACUCACUGCUUGGUGAUAGGUGAUAGUCCCUUCGUGGUUGCCAAAAUGUGUCUGGAAUUUAUUCCUUCCGGUGGGUUCUUCGUCUCGCUGACUUCAAGAAUGAAGCUGCAGAUCUUCAUGCUGACAUCCUAAGGAACAUUAUCUUUUGAGGGCACAAUCUUUCACUUGCAUCCUCUAUGGUAAUGCACCUAAAUCUGGAUCCAAGGCCCUCAAGGAAUUGGAAGAUGCAUACUUCGAGUGACUUUCUUCACUCAAUCCACUCAAGUGCUGAUCUCAUCCAGUAACAUCCUCAUUGACACACCCCAAAAUAAUGUUUUACCAGCUAUCUGGGCAUCCAUUAGCCCAGUCAGGAUGACACAUACAAUUAACCAUGGCAUGCAUCCGUGCACAUAUGUUGGUGUAGAUGAGUGGUUAGGAAACAAAAGUGUUGAAAAAUUUAUAUUGUGGAUAUUCUCUUACAUUUAGCACUAUUUUAUCUAAAAUGUUUGGAUAAUCAAUUGACUAAAAAAGAUAAAACUGGGAAAAAAUAAAUGAGCAUAUAAGAGAAAACAAUAAUGAAUCAAUUAUAUGUGAGUUUUUCAGAUGUCUCCCCUCAUCUUUCAUUUCCUUUUCAAAUGAAUAAAUUAAAAGCUUCCAAAAUAGCAGUCGAAUAAUUUUAGGUGUAAAUAAACUUGGAAGAUUUCUGCAGUUCCAUACAAUUGUUUUACUAAUACGUUAAAGGAUUCACAGUGAAAUAAUUAAGACUAAAUAACAAGGAUAAAAUUUUACCUUAAAGAACAUAUUUUUGGCCCAAGUACGAUGGGCCACAGCUCUUUACAAAUUAGAAUUUAAGAGUUAAAGUGCUAAAUUUUGU
rnacentral:lncRNA from 10 species